CAAAAACAUCGCCUCUUGAAACAUUAAACAUAAGAGGUCCCGCCUGCCCAGUGACUAUGGGUUCAACGGCCGCGGUAUUUUGACCGUGCUAAGGUAGCGCAAUCACUUGUCUUUUAAAUGAAGACCCGUAUGAAUGGCACCACGAGGGCUUAACUGUCUCCCUCUUCCUGUCAAUGAAACUGAUCUCCCCGUGCAGAAGCGGGGAUUACUACACAAGACGAGAAGACCCUAUGGAGCUUCAGGCUCCUGAACAGACUAUGUUAAACAUUCUCCCACAAGAGGCUAAACUUAUUAGACGCUGUUCCAAUGCCUUUGGUUGGGGCGACCACGGGGAAAGAAAAACCCCCAUGUGGAAUAGGAAUAUACCCUCCCACAACCCAGAGUUGCAACUCUAAGUACCAGAACAUCUGACCAAUAAAUGAUCCGGCAUCGCCGAUCAACGAACCGAGUUACCCUAGGGAUAACAGCGCAAUCCCCUUUUAGAGCCCGUAUCAACAAGGGGGUUUACGACCUCGAUGUUGGAUCAGGACAUCCUAUUGGUGCAACCGCUAUUAAGGGUUCGUUUGUUCAACGAUUAAAGUCCUACGUGAUCUGAGUU
rnacentral:rRNA from 1 species